rnacentral:rRNA from 1 species
AAUCCCGACACGGGGAGGUAGUGACAAUAAAUAACGAUAUAGGGCUCUUUUGGGUCUUAUAAUUGGAAUGAGUACAAUUUAAAUCUCUUAACGAGGAACAAUUGGAGGGCAAGUCUGGUGCCAGCAGCCGCGGUAAUUCCAGCUCCAAUAGCGUAUAUUAAAGUUGUUGCAGUUAAAAAGCUCGUAGUUGAACUUCAGGCCUGGCUGGGCGGUCCGCCUCACGGUGUGUACUGUUCGGCUGGGUCUUACCUCUUGGUGAGCCGGCAUGCCCUUCACUGGGUGUGUCGGGGAACCAGGACUUUUACCUUGAGAAAAUUAGAGUGUUCAAAGCAGGCCUGCGCCUGAAUACAUUAGCAUGGAAUAAUAAAAUAGGACGUGCGGUUCUAUUUUGUUGGUUUCUAGAGUCGCCGUAAUGAUUAAUAGGGAUAGUUGGGGGCAUUAGUAUUCCGUUGCUAGAGGUGAAAUUCUUGGAUUUACGGAAGACUAACUAUUGCGAAAGCAUUUGCCAAGGAUGUUUUCAUUAAUCAAGAACGAAGGUUAGGGGAUCGAAAACGAUCAGAUACCGUUGUAGUCUUAACAGUAAACUAUGCCGACUAGGGAUCGGGCGAACUCAAUCUGAUGUGUCGCUCGGCACCUUACGAGAAAUCAAAGUCUUUGGGUUCU